rnacentral:rRNA from 1 species
UACAGAGGGUGCAAGCGUUAAUCGGAAUUACUGGGCGUAAAGCGAGCGUAGUCGGUUAUUUAAGUCGGAUGUGAAAUCCCCGGGCUCAACCUGGGAAUUGCAUUCGAUACUGGAUAGCUAGAGUUCGGCAGAGGGAAGCGGAAUUUCUGGUGUAGCGGUGAAAUGCGUAGAUAUCCGGAGGAACACCGGUGGCGAAGGCGGCUUCCUGGACCGACACUGACGCUGAGGCGCGAAAGCUAGGGGAGCAAACGGG